AUGCACGAUGCACCCCGGGCUACUCUUAUUAUCUCCAUGACGAUGAUGGCCCCAUUGCUCCUGCUAGAUUGUUGCCGUUUAGUGUUGCAGAUUAGCCUUUCGAUAGCCUGAUCUGUGUCAAAAUAACGCCUACAUUC
rfam:Cucumis melo, WGS project CAJI01000000 data, contig: 11299